CUGAAAAGGAAGAGAUCCUUAAAGACACAGAACUGGUGCAUGUAACAGGCUCCUUAAGUUCCCUGUGCUGUGAUCAGGAAGGGAUGUAGAAGUUUGGAAGAGAAGGAGUGUUUGCUGUUUGUCUGCAUAUCUGUAGGUAUAAAGAGUCUUCUCGUCUGUAUGAAUGAUCCACUGUUUAGUACAACAACACAAGGAAUCUACUAGAGAAUAUCUGGAGGAUGUGUCAGCAAUAGAUACUCUGAGCUGUGUACACCUUGUCCUACUGUUAUUUACAAAUGGCUGAGAGUUUACUCUGGGACCACAUCAAACCUGAUAUUCUUGCAGAGAUUCUGUCUAUACCCUUCAUCCUGGUGUGCAGAUGGCCUCUCUGUUCAGUGAGCUGUGAAGUACAAGACCUAGUCUGGAAGUAACUGUGAAUUGUCUGGAUAAGUUUAACUUGCGCAGAUCCAGUGAAAUAAGCAGUUACCCUGGGCCAAGUCCAUGCUGGCACAACUACUUGCUGAGCUGCUUUUGCUCCAGGGAUUGGUAUUAUUCACUGUUCACGUUACUUUUCUGGACUUUAAUGAGCUGUUAUUUGAGACAUCUGAAUAAAAUAAUAAUUUUAAAUCAAAAAUAUUAAUAAUAUAGGUA